UACGUAGGGGUCGAGCGUUGUCCGGAGUUACUGGGCGUAAAGCGUGUGCAGGCGGCUCAUUGCGCCCGGCGUGAAAGCCCCCGGCUCAACCGGGGAGAGUCGUCGGGGACGGGUGAGCUUGAGGGUAUCAGGGGCUGGUGGAAUUCCUGGUGUAGCGGUGAAAUGCGCAGAUAUCAGGAAGAACACCCGUGGCGAAGGCGGUUCUCUGGAACGCAACUGACGCUGAGACGCGAAAGCGUGGGGAGCAAACAGG
rnacentral:rRNA from 1 species